ACACACGCGACACGAAGGGCGGUGAUAAGUCAGUAGAGCACGCGGUGUCCGCAGAGACACAUGCAGUCGUGGCCCUUUAUUGCCGGCGCCGACUGGUGUAGAACGGCGCGAGAGAACGUCGAUGUUGGAUGGAUCGGUGCGGCCCACUAUGAUGAACAUCUGCGGAUCCCAAGAGCGGCAGAACGAAGACCCCAGCCUUGCCGCCACGGAACGAUCGUCAUCGCCCGAUGUCGACCGAGUGAAGUGUCGCUCGACGUACUUGACACCGGGUCUCUCGCCUCCAAGAGAGCAAUCCGUGGACAGUGUGUUAACAAUCGCGACUGUCAUGGAGUCGCUCUCUUUAAGGCGGUACCCACAGUCGCCAUUCGACCAUCCCCCGGGACAACACCACGUCAACGAAGCCUGGCUUCAAGUUUCACGAUCUUCCUGCAUUUCUCAAACGCAUGCGCUGGUUUGUAUGGACGUAUUGAGUUGCACUAAAUUCGACUAGCACAUUUGACUAGACUAGACAAUUGCACAAGAAAGGAAUUCCUGCUCUUCAUGCAGUCGUUGCCAUGCGGUCACAGUCGUUUCAUCGUCUUCAUUCCUUGUGUUACACUGUGCGUCUGCCUGGUUGGUGUCUGGGUUUCGGCAUAGGUUGUGAGCGUUCAAGUGUCUAAACAUAAAAUCGCGUUGCAAUAAAGUUGUGACUCUUGUUGCGGAUAAA